rnacentral:rRNA from 1 species
UACGGAGGGUGCGAGCGUUAAUCGGAAUUACUGGGCGUAAAGGGCACGCAGGCGGUCAAUUAAGCCGGAUGUGAAAUCCCCGGGCUCAACCCGGGAACUGCAUUCGGAACUGGUUGACUGGAGUUCUGUAGAGGGGGGUGGAAUUCCACGUGUAGCGGUGAAAUGCGUAGAGAUGUGGAGGAACACCAGUGGCGAAGGCGGCCCCCUGGACAGAGACUGACGCUCAAGUGCGAAAGCGUGGGGAGCAAAC